rnacentral:rRNA from 1 species
CAGCAGCCGCGGUAAUACGAAGGGUGCAAGCGUUACUCGGAAUUACUGGGCGUAAAGCGUGCGUAGGUGGUGGUUUAAGUCCGUUGUGAAAGCCCUGGGCUCAACCUGGGAAUUGCAGUGGAUACUGGAUCACUAGAGUGUGGUAGAGGAUAGUGGAAUUUCCGGUGUAGCAGUGAAAUGCGUAGAGAUCGGAAGGAACAUCUGUGGCGAAGGCGACUAUCUGGGCCAACACUGACACUGAGGCACGAAAGCGUGGGGAGCAAACAGGAUUAGACACCCGCGUAGUCCCUGUCUCUUAUAC